rnacentral:rRNA from 1 species
CGCCUCUUGUACCUAUAUAAGAGGUCCAGCCUGCCCAGUGACUAAGUUCAACGGCCGCGGUAUCCUAACCGUGCGAAGGUAGCGUAAUCACUUGUUCUUUAAAUGAGGACUAGUAUGAAUGGCACCACGAGGGUUAUGCUGUCUCCUUUUUCUAAUCAAUGAAACUGAUCUCCCCGUGAAGAAGCGGGGAUGUAAGUAUAAGACGAGAAGACCCUAUGGAGCUUUAAACCAUGUAACACUGGCUUCUACAUUAUUAUUUUUCAGAAUUAUCAUAAUUAUUCUAGCCACUAUGAUUACUAGUUUUAGGUUGGGGUGACCACGGAGCAAAAAUUAACCUCCAUGUUGAACGGAGCUUUUCCUGAGCCCUAAGCCACGACUUUAAGCACUAACAAAUUAACAUUAAUUGACCCAAUAUUUUGAUCAACGAACCAAGUUACCCUAGGGAUAACAGCGCA